rnacentral:rRNA from 1 species
GCGAACGGGUGAGUAACACGUGGGUGAUCUGCCCUGCACUUCGGGAUAAGCCUGGGAAACUGGGUCUAAUACCGGAUAUGACCAAGGACUGCAUGGUUUUUGGUGGAAAGGUUUACGUGGUGCAGGAUGAGCCCGCGGCCUAUCAGCUUGUUGGUGGGGUAAUGGCCUACCAAGGCGACGACGGGUAGCCGGCCUGAGAGGGCGACCGGCCACACUGGGACUGAGACACGGCCCAGACUCCUACGGGAGGCAGCAGUGGGGAAUAUUGCACAAUGGGCGAAAGCCUGAUGCAGCGACGCCGCGUGAGGGAUGACGGCCUUCGGGUUGUAAACCUCUUUCAGCAGGGACGAAGCGCAAGUGACGGUACCUGCAGAAGAAGCACCGGCCAACUACGUGCCAGCAGCCGCGGUAAUACGUAGGGUGCGAGCGUUGUCCGGAAUUACUGGGCGUAAAGAGCUCGUAGGCGGUUUGUCGCGUCGUCUGUGAAAACCCGCAGCUCAACUGCGGGCUUGCAGGCGAUACGGGCAGACUUGAGUACUGCAGGGGAGACUGGAAUUCCUGGUGUAGCGGUGAAAUGCGCAGAUAUCAGGAGGAACACCGGUGGCGAAGGCGGGUCUCUGGGCAGUAACUGACGCUGAGGAGCGAAAGCGUGGGUAGCGAACAGGAUUAGAUACCCUGGUAGUCCACGCCGUAAACGGUGGGCGCUAGGUGUGGGUUUCCUU